AAGCCCUUGUUUUCUAGGGACGAUAAUGACGGUACUAGAGGAGGAAGCCACGGCUAACUACGUGCCAGCAGCCGCGGUAAUACGUAGGUGGCGAGCGUUGUCCGGAUUUACUGGGCGUAAAGGGUGCGUAGGCGGAUGUUUAAGUGGGAUGUGAAAUCCCCGGGCUUAACCUGGGGGCUGCAUUCCAAACUGGAUAUCUAGAGUGCAGGAGAGGAAAGCGGAAUUCCUAGUGUAGCGGUGAAAUGCGUAGAGAUUAGGAAGAACACCAGUGGCGAAGGCGGCUUUCUGGACUGUAACUGACGCUGAGGCACGAAAGCGUGGGUAGCAAACAGGAUUAGAUACCCUGGUAGUCCACGCCGUAAACGAUGGAUACUAGGUGUAGGGGGUAUCAACUCCCCCUGUGCCGCAGUUAACACAAUAAGUAUCCCGCCUGGGGAGUACGGUCGCAAGAUUAAAACUCAAAGGAAUUGACGGGGGCCCGCACAAGCAGCGGAGCAUGUGGUUUAAUUCGAAGCAACGCGAAGAACCUUACCUGGACUUGACAUCCCUUGCAUAGCCUAGAGAUAGG
rnacentral:rRNA from 1 species